GAAGCUGCAAGGAUUUUGAAGAGAGAGUCAGAAAGCACAGCCACUGCUGGCUCAGGAUCACAGACUGGUACUGGGAUGUGUUCACGCAGUUCUUUUAGCGGUUUGUUUAACAACAUGCAAACCUCACUAGCUGAAGUACAACAAGGAACCCCUACAGUUGAUUCAGGCAGGAUUCCCUGCACUGUAGCUAGAAAUGACCACAUUCAAAGAAAUCUUGUGCAGCUGUUUCAGCCAUGUGAUCAGGCAAGGGGGCAAAAGAUGUUCCAGAACACUGGAAAGUGUAAACGGAAAACUACACACAGUGAAACCUGGACACAUGAUUUAUUUUGCUUAGCAGAGACCAACGUUCAAACUGUGCCCAAUGGAGAAGACCGCAUUGGUUUACAGAAUUCAGGCCUUGGUAGGAAAAAAAUAACAUUUGCAGACGAAAAUGGAGGAUUUUCUUAACUAUGUGAAACUCUGUUUCUGAGAGAACUGAGAGUGGCCUGAACCAGGCAAUGGCCUAUAUUCGACCACUUCAGAAAAACCUGGAGAGCAUUGCGAAGCGUAAGAACAGUUGUCAAAAUCUAAUGUCCUCUAUAUUCCUUCUUCUUCGCCUCCCUUCUAUCACCCUUUCCCCUUCCUCCUCUGCCCAAACCUUGGUGUCACCUUUGAUUCCUCCCUUUCCAACUCUCAACAUAUUUCUUCACUGGCACGCUCUUACCGUCUCUUUUUGAGCAAUAUCUAUUGCAUUAAACCUGCUGGACUAUGGCUCUCGACGAUCAGGACUGGAGAUCUGGGUUAAGGUUUAAAUGCACAUGUAACACAUACUAUAAAAAUGAAGCAUGUUAAAAAUAAAUGUGUGUUUGUUUGUUGUAGUGUCAAGAGGUGGUCAUGGAGAAGUGCAAAAGGUGUGAAAAAUAUCCCUCUGAAAUGCCUUUCAGAACACAUUGAAAACUGUGGAAGGUCAUCUAUUUUUCUGGUGUAUUUGUAAUUUAAAUUGCUCAUUUAUUUUUACAACAUAGUGGUUGACUUGUAUCUGUGGUAAAUAUGUUUUGACAUUCAACGCAUGUAUGUCUUUGUUAACUGUUUUCAGACAGCCUGAUGACACUGAUUUGGAAGAUGAUGUCGUUAUGGAGAUAUGUUUUCAAUGUGGAGUACUCUGUGAAAGAUAUCCUACAAUCCCUGAGAGUUGGAAUCAAUGAAGUCAUUCGCUUCAACUUAAACAGAAGAAAUGUGUGGGAUGGUGCUGUAGAGGCCAAACUUUUCAACCAACAAAAGAGUUGAUGUGAAAUUCACAGAUGAUGCUGGUGUUUCGGAAGGAGCAGUGGAUUUGGGAGGGCCAAUGAGGGAGUUUGUCAGACUAGUGCUGCAAUAUAUAAGAAACAGCCCUAUGUUUGAUGGCCCAGAAAAUCAACGUACUCUCUCAUGCCAUGCAGAGUGGUUGCCAUGGAAACUGUGGACCCACAAUCCUCCUGGUGCAUCGCUCACGUUACCGAUGGCGGAUAGAGCUGAAUGAAGGCAAGUUCGAGUUUGUUUUUUCCGAGUUUUCUUUUUAUAUUCGUUUGUUAUUGUAUAAAAAUUAAUACUCGAUCACAUGUGCUCAUAACAUAGACGAUGCAUGAUACAAUUUAGCUAUAUAUA